rnacentral:lncRNA from 1 species
GGGAAGGCGCCGCGUGGCCCGGUCCACACGCUUUCACAAGGGUUGGGUGGGGUGUGCCCUUUCGGACGCCAAGAUUGUCUGUGCUGUGGGCUCCUCGCGAGCCUCGGCCACGGGGCGCGUUGGGGUCGGUUGGAAUCCGGGCAUGGCCCGGAGCCACUUGGCUCCGUUGCUGACUCCCCUAGUGCUCCUAGGUCUGGUGUCCCCUACUCAGAUCGACCCAGACUACCAAUACUUUGGCCCGCACGGUGAAGGUGAUACCUGGGAGCUGCUGACGCUGCAGCGACAAAAGGUACUGGAAGACUCAGUCCUAGGCCCGUGGGGAAAGUGGCAUUGUUUCUGCAGCCUGGGCAGACAGGAACGCAGCCGUCAGGUGUUGGGCACGGCACCAGUCCCUGUGUUCAUGGACCGAGAGAAGCUGGUACAGAUGAGGCCGUGCCGGCAACAGGAUUGCUCAUCUUGCAGCCUGAAGGACUGCAACUAGAGGCCCUGAGCAGAGGUG